UACAGAGACUGCAAGCGUUAUUCGGAUUCACUGGGCGUAAAGGGUGCGCAGGCGGCCAAGUGUGUGAGGCGUGAAAGCCUGGGGCUUAACUCCAGAAUUGCACCUCAAACUACAUGGCUAGAGCAUUGGAGAGGGUAGCAGAAUUCACGGCGUAGCAGUGAAAUGCGUAGAUAUCGUGAGGAAUACCAGAGGCGAAGGCGGCUACCUGGACAAUUGCUGACGCUCAGGCACGAAAAGCGUGGGGGAGCAAAAGGG
rnacentral:rRNA from 1 species